CUUCGGCCAGCAAUGCAGUAGCAGGUGUUUAUAUUGGAGUUGCUGCCAUACGAGGGGCCCUUGCUCUCUGUGCGAGAUGCACGGUCUUUGACAUUGGCUCUCGUGGGACCCUCAAGGGACACUAGUGCCCAGAACACACUGAGGCAUGGCAGGGAAGACAGCCCAGCAGCCUGCUGGCCCUCACCCACAUCUACUGCUUGCUCUGUCCUGCUGAGCCGCCCAGUCUGGAGACCCUAGGACAGCACCUGCCUCCUGAGGUUGUCCUGGCUCGGUUGUCCACAGCGAUGGUGGAGAACUGGACUCCACAGGCUCACAACCUUCCGGUCAGGCUUCAAGGGCCAGCAUCCUUCAUCCUGGGACUGGCGGCCCUGAACAAUGGCUGAGGGCCAGGGGACCCCAUAAAGUUACUCGGCAGCUCACGGGAGCCAGUAG
ensembl:lncRNA